rnacentral:rRNA from 1 species
GACGAACGCUGGCGGCGUGCUUAACACAUGCAAGUCGAACGGAAAGGCCCUGCUUUUGUGGGGUGCUCGAGUGGCGAACGGGUGAGUAACACGUGUGUAACCUGCCCUUGACUUUGGGAUAACUUCAGGAAACUGGGGCUAAUACCGGAUAGGAGCUCCUGCUGCAUGGUGGGGGUUGGAAAGUUUCGGCGGUUGGGGAUGGACUCGCGGCUUAUCCGCUUGUUGGUGGGGCAGUGGCUUUCCAAGGCUUUGAAGGGUAGCCGGCCUGAGAGGGUGACCGGCCACAUUGGGACUGAGAGACGGCCCAGACGCCUACGGGAGGCAGCAGUGGGGAAUAUUGCACAAUGGGCGGAAGCCUGAUGCAGCAACGCCGCGUGCGUGAUGACGGCCUUCGGGUUGUAAACCGCUUUCGCCUGAGACGAAGCGUGAGUGACGGUAAUGGGUAAAGAAGCACCGGCUAACUACGUG